rnacentral:rRNA from 1 species
GUCUUAAAGAAAAUAAUUUUAAGUCUAAUCUGCCCACUGAAUUUUUUUGAAGGGCCGCAGGAUAAUUGUGCAAAGGUAGCAUAAUAAUUAGUUCCUUAAUUGGGAACUAGAAUGAAUGAUUGGACGAAAUAUUAAUUGUUUCGAUUUUAAUAUUAAAACUUAUUUUUUUAGUGAAAAAACUAAGAUUUUUUAAAAAGACGAGAAGACCCUAUAGAUCUUAAUAUGUAUAUUUAAAUAUUAAAUAUAUUAUUUUAAUUACAUAUUUAAUUGGGGUGAUUUAAAAAUUGAAUUAACUUUUUAGUUUGCUAACAAAAAUUAUUGGAUUAUUAAAAUUGAUCUUAAAAAUAAUUUAAAUAAAAUUAUUGAAUAAAAUUAAGAUAAAGAUACCUUAGGGAUAACAGCGUAAUUUUAAUUUUGAGUUCUUAUUAAAAUUAAAGAUUGCGACCUCGAUGUUGGAUUAAAAUUAAUUUAAAAUGCAGAAGUUUUAUAAUUAGGUCUGUUCGACCUUUAAAUUUUU